UGUCCGUUUCCGAUUCCAAGCUGCGUGACUACUAAAGAUAGUUUACUGUAUUAUACAUAUCGUAAAAGAAAAACUUUCGUGUGAAAGUGCAUGCUGAAAGCGAUGCUUCGAUUCUAAAUGAUACAUGCGUCCUGGUUGAUCGACCCAAGAACUAGCAGAUUGUAAAGUCGAACAAUAGAUCAUCACUCCUGAUUAUAUUCUUGACCUGUUAUCAUUCCAUGAAAAGGAAGCUACAUGAGUUUAAUUUUUGUUGAAAGUUGAAAACACUAGUAAAAGAAUUCGCAAUAGAACUUUUGGAAAAAUUUCAAAUCGAUUGAAUAAUGAAAGCAAAAGCUGCACAAACACCGCUCACUGAUAAGUUGAAUUACUAAUUGCUUCCAAAUCCACUAUGUUACAAAAGUUCAACCUGGAACACUGAAUUCUUCCCAAUUGUUCCACAGCUUGUAAACAAAAAUGGACAACUUGGGAAGAGGAGAUACGAUUAUUUGAGCCUCGCGCCUCGCUUUUAUAGUUGUUGCAUUAUCAUAUCCACAAUACUUUCUCAUCUACAACUAUAAUUAUAAAUGUCGAGUAAUUUCUUCCUUGAGGCACUCAUAUUGAUUUUUGAAAUUGGAUUUCUUUAUAAUGAACUGAACAGAAAGUUCAGUCUUCGUGAGUGUUUUUAAAAAAAUUCAUGAUUUAGUAUUACUUUAUGGUAUUACCCUAUUAUUAUUAUUAUAUAUAUAUAUAUAUACUUAUUGGAUGCUAUGUACUGCUUUUGCAGGGAUAUAAAAUACUACUCCUUAAUCAUCAACAUUUAAACAUUAAUGUAAAGGUUAACAAGAAAUAAAUAAAAGUUUUUGUUCAAGCGUA